GAUGAACGCUGGCGGCGUGCUUAACACAUGCAAGUCGAACGGGAAAUAUUUCAUUGAGACUUCGGUGGAUUUGAUCUAUUUCUAGUGGCGGACGGGUGAGUAACGCGUGGGUAACCUGCCUUAUACAGGGGGAUAACAGUCAGAAAUGGCUGCUAAUACCGCAUAAGCGCACAGAGCUGCAUGGCUCAGUGUGAAAAACUCCGGUGGUAUAAGAUGGACCCGCGUUGGAUUAGCUUGUUGGUGGGGUAACGGCCCACCAAGGCGACGAUCCAUAGCCGGCCUGAGAGGGUGAACGGCCACAUUGGGACUGAGACACGGCCCAGACUCCUACGGGAGGCAGCAGUGGGGAAUAUUGCACAAUGGGGGAAACCCUGAUGCAGCGACGCCGCGUGAAGGAAGAAGUAUCUCGGUAUGUAAACUUCUAUCAGCAGGGAAGAUAGUGACGGUAC
rnacentral:rRNA from 1 species